ACCCGGGUAAGGAGCUGGCCUGCAGUGGGGCUGGGAGGGCAUGCCUGGGUGAGCUCAGCCUCAAAGGCCUCCUCCUUCCUCUGUAGGCUCUCAGGUCCUCAGAAUCAGGGA
rnacentral:miRNA from 1 species